AGAGUUGAUUCCGCAGCAAUUACUUUGCCGCCGAGUGCUGGAUGCAGUAGAGGAUCCAUACUCAUAAAAACCAAAGAGGAUCAGUGUUUUCUUAUAAGCUGUAUUCUGUUGUGAUUUCUAAUGCAAUUCUUAUUCGUUCAAACUAAGCAACUUACGAGUUGUCUCAAACUAAGCAAUAAAUCUUGUUUUAAACUAUCAUUUGACAAACAAAUUCUUGUUCAUACUCAUGAGUUGUCUCUGCAUAUUUUGAUUGGAGACAUGAUGCUACUAUCUUUCAUUCUUAAAUCUGAC
rnacentral:lncRNA from 1 species